rnacentral:rRNA from 1 species
UAACACAUGCAAGUCGAGCGGCAGCGGGAAAGUAGCUUGCUACUUUUGCCGGCGAGCGGCGGACGGGUGAGUAAUGCCUGGGAAAUUGCCCAGUCGAGGGGGAUAACAGUUGGAAACGACUGCUAAUACCGCAUACGCCCUACGGGGGAAAGCAGGGGACCUUCGGGCCUUGCGCGAUUGGAUAUGCCCAGGUGGGAUUAGCUAGUUGGUGAGGUAAUGGCUCACCAAGGCGACGAUCCCUAGCUGGUCUGAGAGGAUGAUCAGCCACACUGGAACUGAGACACGGUCCAGACUCCUACGGGAGGCAGCAGUGGGGAAUAUUGCACAAUGGGGGAAACCCUGAUGCAGCCAUGCCGCGUGUGUGAAGAAGGCCUUCGGGUUGUAAAGCACUUUCAGCGAGGAGGAAAGGUCAGUAGCUAAUAUCUGCUGGCUGUGACGUUACUCGCAGAAGAAGCACCGGCUAACUCCGUGCCAGCAGCCGNCGGGUA